rnacentral:lncRNA from 1 species
GUACUUCGGACCCGACGGCCUAGUCCGGGCGUGGUUAAGAACAAAAAAGAUGCACCUGGACUUUCCCCAGAGCCUUCUACGUUUCUAAGCGUCGGUGGAAUUUGAGUUCUCUGGCUGCGAGCCGCGCUUACUUGAUGAAAGAAAUCAGCCCUACCUUCCUCAGUGGACAAUUUGUUACCGACUUUAAGUGUCUCCCACUGAAGGCAUCCAUCUUUCCUUGAGGUAAGAAAAGUCUUUUUUUUUUUUUUUUCAGUUACAUUUCAUUUGUUAAACAGAAAGUGUUUUUCUUAGAAGUUUAAAGUAUUUUCUGCCACUACUUUAAAUCUAACUUUGAACAGGACUCCACUAUUUUCAACUGAGUUUUAGUUAAUGAA